CCUACGGGAGGCAGCAGUGAGGAAUAUUGGUCAAUGGGCGCAAGCCUGAACCAGCCAAGUAGCGUGAAGGAUGACUGCCCUACGGGUUGUAAACUUCUUUUAUCAAGGAGUCAAGUGAGGCACGUGUGCCUUUUUGUAGGUACUUUAUGAAUAAGGAUCGGCUAACUCCGUGCCAGCAGCCGCGGUAAUACGGAGGAUCCGCGCGUUAUCCGGAUUUAUUGGGGUUAAAGGGAGCGUAGAUGGGGUGUUAAGUCAGUUGUAAAAGUUUGGGGCUCAACCGUAAAAUUGCAAUUGAUCCGGGCAGCUUUGAGUACAGUUGAGGUAGGCGGAAUUCGUGGUGUACCGGUGAAAUGCUUAGAAAUAACGAAGAACUCCGAU
rnacentral:rRNA from 1 species